UAGGGAAUCUUCGGCAAUGGGGGCAACCCUGACCGAGCAACGCCGCGUGAGUGAAGAAGGUUUUCGGAUCGUAAAACUCUGUUGUAAGUCAAGAACGAGUGUGAGAGUGGAAGGUUCACACUGUGACGGUAGCUUACCAGAAAGGGACGGCUAACUACGUGCCAGCAGCCGCGGUAAUACGUAGGUCCCGAGCGUUGUCCGGAUUUAUUGGGCGUAAAGCGAGCGCAGGCGGUUUGAUAAGUCUGAAGUUAAAGGCUGUGGCUCAACCAUAGUUCGCUUUGGAAACUGUCAAACUUGAGUGCAGAAGGGGAGAGUGGAAUUCCAUGUGUAGCGGUGAAAUGCGUAGAUAUAUGGAGGAACACCGGUGGCGAAAGCGGCUCUCUGGUCUGUAACUGACGCUGAGGCUCGAAAGCGUGGGGAGCGAACAGGAUUAGAUACCCUGGUAGUCCACGCCGUAAACGAUGAGUGCUAGGUGUUGGAUCCUUUCCGGGAUUCAGUGCCGCAGCUAACGCAUUAAGCACUCCGCCUGGGGAGUACGACCGCAAGGUUG
rnacentral:rRNA from 1 species